GCCCCCAUUUCCGGCCGACGAUCGACGUCAAAAGCAAGCGUCUCCGGUACUGGUUCGCCGACGACCGUAGAAACGACUUGGUUUCAGUUGCCGGCCAUGGCGUCAGGCUAAUCAUAGCAUCAGUGAAGUUGGAAAAAGUCUAUGAACAGCAACCGCAACGGGCAGGUUUGAAGGUUGACUGCAGAGAAACAAAACCACUGAUGGCGUAUACACAUUGACUCUGCUAUUUUUGUCAGAACGAAAAAGGUUUUCU